UGAUGAGGGGGAGGACAGGGGUAAGGGAGACAGGGAGAAAAGGGGUAGGAGAAAGGGGAUGGGAGAAAGGAGAAAGGGGGUAGGAGAAAGGAGAGGAAGGCUGGGAGAAAGAAGAAAAAGUUGGAGAAAGGAAAAAAAAUAAAAUAUCUCUCCUUUUAAAAAAUGAUCUAAUAAUUUCAAGAAAAAAUAUCUCAAAAGGAGAUGUUUUAUUCUAAUGGGAGAAAGGAGAACGGGGGUAGGAGAAAGGAGAAGAGGGUUGGGAGAAGGGAGAAGGGUACCCCCUGUCCUCCCCCUCA
rnacentral:lncRNA from 1 species